rnacentral:rRNA from 1 species
AUAUGUUGAAAUAUAUUGKUUWAGWCGAGAAGRCCCUGUGGAACUUCAAGUAUUAACCAAUAUAUUUCAACAUAUACCUCGAAAGAAAAUAAAGACACAGUAUUACCUGGCUAUUACUUUUGGUUGGGGUGACCUCGGAGUAAAACAAAACCUCCGAAAAGAGUAUUCUCAUACCUAGAAUUACACCUCAAAGUGCCCUAAAGCAAAGAGAUCCAAUAUAUUUGAUCAACGAACAAAGCUACCCCAGGGAUAACAGCGCAAUCCCCUCUUAAAGUCCUUAUUGAUGAUGGGGGUUUACGACCUCGAUGUUGGAUCAGGACAUCCUAAUGGUGCAGCCGCUAUWAAGG